GCGGAAGGCUGGAUGGCCGCUUCGUGACAUCCGCUCGCGCGGAUGCACGGGGAGGAAAGUCCGGACUCCAAAAAGAGACGGUGCCGGGUAAUGCCCGGGCGGGGCAACCCGACGGAAAGCGCCACAGAAAUGAUACCGCCACGCCGCAGGUCGGGAAACCGAAACCACGACGGGGUAAGGGUGAAAAGGUGGGGUAAGGGCCCACCGCGCCGCUGGCAACAGGGGCGGCAUGGCAAGCCCCACCGGGAGCAAUGCCAAAUAGGGACCGCGCGCCACCGGCCUUCGGGCCGGGGCGGGGCCGCUUUUGCCCCAGCAGGUCCGGGUUGGCAGCUGUAGCCCUGCGGGCAAUCGCAGGGUCAGAGGAAUGGUCAUCCACGGGGGAUUUCCCCCGUGACAAAAUCCGGCUUACAGGCCUUCCGCGCGU
rnacentral:RNase_P_RNA from 2 species